CUUUGAGAACCUUGCCUCUUAGAAUCUAACAAAAAUCUACUGAAUCCUUUCUGGUAUUCUCAAAUUCAGUGGUUGAUUGACUCAAGUUACAUUUUACUUAAAUUGGGUCUCAAUAUUGGGGACAAUACUUCCACAAUCCGCUGAGCUUGUGGUGUAGCCCAAGUUGAUGGGCUUUUUGGGCCUACCAGGACCUUGACAAACAGAUCUGUCACCAUCAACAUUUGCAACUUUCAUCUACUCCCGGUACAUCCUGGUAAGACACAUUAUGCCUCCUAAAAAUGCUAAAACAUCUCCUUGUGAGGAGGACGCUGUUGUUACAAUGAGUGUACUCUCCCAGUUAAUGGAACAGCAGAGAGGUAUCUAUAAGGAUAUGUUAUUGCAGCAGCAAUAUAACUUCAAAUGUUUCAUUCAGCUGAUCAUGGAUGGAACUAACAAAAGAUUGGAUGGUGUGAUCAGAGAUGUACAGGAGCUGAAGACCAGCUUGGAAUUUACCCAAUCAAAGUUUGAGGAGAAGAUGGGAUGCACUGAGAUUGAGUCAAAGAUAAGGGCAUUUGAGACAAACAUCACUACUUCCAGGCAGGAAUUGGACGCCAUGUUCAAAAAGCUGGAAUACAUUGAAAACCAGAGCAGGAGAACAAAUAUUUUAAUCGACGGCAUUGGUGACGAGAAAGGAGAGAAUUGGUGUGAAUCAGAGAAAAAGCUGUGUAGCUGAGGAGGAAAAAGUUUUGGCCGAUGGUGAAAGCUGCGAGAGAGAGAGGGGAUAAAGCGAGUUUGAAGUAUGAUAAACUGAUCAUUACCCCAAGGGAUGGACAAAGUCAGUUAUCGACCUAGUGAUCAUUAAAGCUCAAUUUUAUAUAUGUGUGUGUACAUGCAUGUGUGCAGGACUUAUGUUUGUAGCCUACUUGAUGAAAAUAAAAUAAUUCUGUGUAUAAGAUAUUCAACUAGAUUAUAGUAUAGGACUCAUUUACUUUCAACAAAGAUGACCAGUAUAAAUAAACUACCUAAAGGUUUAAUACUUGCGCAUAUAAAUAUAUGUAGUCUAAGGAACAAAAUUCAGGACCUGUUUUUAUUUUUUGAACAAAACAAAAUAGACAUACUUAUGAUUUCUGAAACUCAUCUGGAUCACUUCAUAGACAAUUCAGAUGUGGAUAUAGGGGGAUUUUCAAUUUAUAGAAAAGAUCGAAACCGGUUUGGAGGUGGUGUGGCCAUUUAUAUACGGGAUCAUUUCCCUGUUAAAUUGAGACACGACUUAAUGGUUGAUGAUAUUGAAGUGUUAUGGUUACAGGUACAUCUUCCACACGUAAAACCGAUUAUUCUUGGUUGUUGUUAUAGGCCACCUAGUGCCAGGAUAGAGUAUGGAAAUGGUUUAUGUAAUAUGCUAGAUAAGGU
ensembl:lncRNA